GUGCCAGCCGCCGCGGUAACACGUAGGAGGCGAGCGUUGUCCGGAAUCAUUGGGCGUAAAGAGCGCGCAGGCGGCUUGGCAAGUCGGGUGUGAAAUCCCGGGGCUCAACCCCGUGACUGCAUUCGAUACUGUCAGGCUAGAGGUAGGUAGGGGAGAUCGGAAUUCCUGGUGUAGCGGUGAAAUGCGCAGAUAUCAGGAGGAACACCGGUGGCGAAGGCGGAUCUCUGGGCCUUACCUGACGCUCAGGCGCGAAAGCUAGGGGAGCGAACAGGAUUAGAUACCCUGGUAGUCCUAGCCGUAAACGUUGGGUGCUAGGUGUGGGCGGAUAUCAACCCCGUCCGUGCCGAAGCUAACGCAUUAAGCACCCCGCCUGGGGAGUACGGCCGCAAGGUUGAA
rnacentral:rRNA from 1 species